CAGCCGCCGCGGGAAUACGAAGGGUGCAAGCGUUACUCGGAAUUACUGGGCGUAAAGCGUGCGUAGGUGGUGGUUUAAGUCCGUUGUGAAAGCCCUGGGCUCAACCUGGGAAUUGCAGUGGAUACUGGGUCACUAGAGUGUGGUAGAGGAUAGUGGAAUUUCCGGUGUAGCAGUGAAAUGCGUAGAGAUCGGAAGGAACAUCAGUGGCGAAGGCGGCCAUCUGGGACAACACUGACGCUGAAGCACGAAAGCGUGGGGAGCAAACAGGAUUAGAUACCCCAGUAGUCCCUGUCUCUUAUAC
rnacentral:rRNA from 1 species